AUUCAUCUCUCUUGUCUCUUGCUUUCUGUCUUACAAAAAAAGAAGAAGAUAACAAUGGCUGUUGUCGAAGUUUUUGUUGGUGCAAUUCUCACUGUUUUGCUUGAGAAGCUGGCCUCUGGUGAGCUGCUGAAAUUUCUGCGUCGUGUAGGAAUUGAUGCCCAGCUGGAAGAAUGGCGUACAACUUUGUCGAUGAUCCAGGCCGUGCUUACUGAUGCUGAAAACAAGCAAAUAGGAAACGUAGCUGUGAAACAGUGGCUGACCGAUCUGGAAGAUUUGGCUUACGAUCUUGAAGACUUAGUGGAUGAGUUGAAUACCGAAGCUCUGCAGCGCAAAUUAAAAGAAAAUAAAGGCAGCACCAGCAAGGUAAGAAAGUUCAUCCCAAACUGUUGUACUAAUCUUUCUUACAGUGAUUUCAUGUUUGAUCGCGGGAUUGCUUCCAAGUUAAAAGAGAUUAGUGGCCGAUUGGAAGCUCUAUCCAAAAAGAUAAAAAUUUUCAGAUUAGUGGAGAAUGUGAGAGGGAGGUCUUACGAAAGAUUGCCAACAACUUCGCUCGUGGUAGAAUCGGAAGUUUAUGGAAGAGAGAAGGACAAAGAGGAAAUACUCAAAAUUUUACUUGGUGUUAAAUCAGAUGAUAGUCAAAUAUCUGUGAUUCCAAUUGUGGGCAUGGGAGGUGUCGGCAAAACUACUCUUGUCCAACUUGUGUAUAAUGAUGAAAUAUUGAAGGAUAAGUUUGAUCUGAAGGCAUGGGCUUGCGUGUCAGAUGAAUUUGACGCUGUUGAAGUAACGAAAAACAUUCUGGAGGCAGUUUCUUCUGGUGGAAAGUGUGAUUCUGAAAAUUUUGACAUGCUUCAGGUCAAACUAAAGGAAAGCCUUUCAAACAAGAAAUUUAUGAUAGUUUUGGAUGAUAUUUGGAAUGAAGAUUAUGUAAAAUGGGACAUCCUACGCCGUCCUUUUCUUGCUGGAAAACCUGGAAGCAUAAUCAUCAUUACCACUCGACAAGAAAGGGUGGCCAAAAUCAUGUCCGGAAUGCCAGCAUACCAUCUGAAUUUGUUGUCAGAGGGCGAUGCUUUAUCAUUGUUAGCUCAACAUGUAUUUGGAGUUAAAACUUUUGACGCAUAUCCAGAAUUAAUAGAGAUUGGUAAAUCUAUUGUAAAAAGAUGUAAGAACUUGCCCCUGGCAGUCAAGGCCCUUGGGGGGCUUCUUCGAAGGACAGUAGGUCCGAAAGGAUGGGAAGAGGUGUUGAAAAGUGAGAUCUGGAUGGCUGAAGAAAAGGGUGAAAUUCUUCCGGCUCUAAAACUGAGUUAUCACUAUCUUCCUCCACAAUUGAAAAGAUGCUUUGCUUACUGUGCGCUCUUCCCCAAGGACUAUGAAUUUGAAAAGUUCCAUCUGGUUUACCUUUGGAUGGCUGAAGGUCUUUUGCAGGAAUCAAUGAAAGAUAUGUCUAUUGAAGAAGUAGGCAGUCAAUAUUUUGGUGAACUGCUGGAUGGAUCAUUCUUCCAACAAUCAAGUGCCAAUGCUUCAUGCUUUGUGAUGCACGACCUCUUUAACGAUCUAGCUAUGUCUGUUGCUGGCGAUAAAUGUUUGAGGAUGGAUGAUGCACUGCAGGAAAAUCUUCCUGGUAAGGCUUCUGUCCGUCACUUGUCAUUCAAGCGCAGUUACUAUGAAACUUACCCUAGAUUUAACUUUCUCGACAAAGUUCCAAAAUUGAGAACAUUUUUGCCACUACCGGUUGGGGAGUUUCAUUGCAACUUAUCCCAAAGAAUUUUGCUUCAACUAUUCGCAAAUUCAUGCCGCUUAAGAUUUCUGUCCUUGAAUGGUUAUGAGAUAUACGAGUUGCCAGAUUCUAUCGGUGAUUUAAGACAGUUACGGUACCUAGGCUUAGCUCGAACUCCACUGAAGUGGUUGCCUAAAUCUGUGUGCACUCUUAUCAACUUACAAGUGUUGAUUCUAAGUGGUUGUUGGAGACUUACCAAAUUACCCACAAGCAUGGAAAAUCUUAUUAAUCUUCGGCAUCUGGACAUUUCUGAUACUAGUGAAUUGCAUGAGAUGCCACGGGAAAUUUCUCAACUAACAAGUUUGCGAACGUUAACUAAGAUGACUGCAAGUAAAAAUAAUGGAAUGAGGUUAAAGGAGUUGGGAAAUCUAUCAUUUCUACAAGGUGAUAUUUCUAUUGAGGAAUUGCAAAAUGUUGUGUAUGUUCAAGAAGCAAAGGAUGCAAGGCUAAUGGAUAAGACGAGCCUCAACAAAAUAAGGUUGGCAUGGAGCAAAGACUUUGAUGAUUCUCGAAAUAAGAUUUUAGAAUUGGAUGUGCUUAAUGCAUUAAAGCCCCAUAAAAAUUUAUCAACACUUGAAAUCAUGUACUAUGGGGGUGAGAAUUUCUCUAAUUGGAUUGGAGAUUCAGCAUUUUCUAAGUUAGCAAAGAUAAGCUUCAAAUUUUGUAAAAAUUGCACGAGUUUGCCACCAUUAGGGCAACUACCUUCUCUAAGAGACUUGAGCAUUCGAGGCACUGAUCAAGUAAAAGUGAUUGGAAAAGAAUUUUAUGGAAAUAGAGGCCAUGGAGAAUUACCUUUUCCAUCACUCACUAGUCUGACUUUUGCGGACAUGCCUAACUGGGAGGAAUGGCGUGGAAUAAAAGAUGUUAUCGAACUUCCUCGGCUACACAAACUGAACAUAAGAAGUUGUUCAAAAUUGGUCAGGCUUCCAGAUCUCUUACUGCCAUCCCUUCGUGAAUUAGAAGCUAUAGACUGUAAUAAGGUGGUGCUACAUCAUAUGCAGAAAUUGGAAUCUUUAACUCGAAUACAAUUGACGAACAUUUGUGAAUUAACUUCGGUUAUCAAAGCAUUUGACCAAUUUCCAUCUACGCUUGAAAGAUUGAGAGUAUCAGGAUGUGUGGACCUUGCGACUCUAUUGCCAAGUGAUGAUACCGCACAAAACCUUGUCAGCCUAUGGGAAGUGUAUGUUGAAAGUUGUCCUCGACUAUUGUCCCUUCAAGAGAUUGAUUUUCUUCCUGGUCUUAGGAGUCUUAAAAUAACAAAUUGUGGCGCUUUGGAGUUGUUGUCUAAUAAAAUAUCUUUUCUUGAGAAGUUGGAUAUCAAACACUGUCCAUCAUUAAAGACGGUGAUGAAGCUACAGGAUUGCAGCACCUCGCUCAAUUAUCUGUCUAUUUAUAGUUGGGUGAAUUUGAAUUUGACAAAUUUACUGGGCUCGGGCCACGAUUACACAAGUCUCACUUCAAUAUCCUUAUGGUGUUGUGAUGGUCUAGAGUCAUUUCCCCAUGGAGGCUUGCCCACACCAAAUUUAAGUCGUUUAUCUAUAGGGGGAUGUCGACAUCUCAAAUCUCUACCCGAUCAAAUGAAUCUACUUUCGGCCCUUUUAGACCUGUGGGUAUACAACUGUGCUUCAUUAAUGGAACUCUUUCCCAAACAGAAUAUUCCCCCAAAUCUGUCUCACCUUAAUAUCUCAUAUUGCCAGAAACUACGGCCCCUGGGAGAAUGGGGCCUACACACACUCACCUCUCUUAGUUCCUUUACAUUUAGUGAAUGUCCAGAGCUGGUUUCCCUCACUAACAAUGCUGACGAAGAACACUGUGUGCUUCCUCCAUCUCUAACUGAGUUGUCGUUGUACUACAUGCCGAAUCUGGAAACCCUAUCAAACGGCUUACAAAGUCUCACCUCUCUUCAACAUAUAUAUAUCUACGACUGCCCAAAGCUUGUGGCGUUGCCUUUGGAAGGCCAGCUUCAAAAGCUUUUGAGCCUUAUCAUUAAAGGCUGCCCACGUCUUCAGAAACGGUGUUUGAAGAACAAAGGAGACUACUGGCCCAUCAUUGCUGACAUUCCCGAAGUCGAAAUUGAUUUACGUUCCAUCUACGAUCCAUGUCCAUGAAUUCAGUUACAUGAGGUAAUAGAUUUAAUUUGAUACCUAUGAAUCUCAACGUCAUUUCAUGCUGAACACAUUUCGACAUUUCUGUCAAUUUUGUUUUCAAAUCAGAAUGUGAAUUUUCUGCAGCAAACAAGUGUUCAUGCUACUCUGUAUCUUAUAUUUGUGCUUCUGCUCUGCAGUAUGAAUCAAUAUGAGAGCUGGAUUUACCAACAAUCGAGUAACUAAUUGGCUAUGGCACUAAAAUCAGCCUCUCUUCUCCCCUUGUAUGUGUUCUAUUAAGAGUAAAAUUCUAUCAAAUAGACAAAUUGGAGUGAUAGUUGUUUGUUCAAUUAAUUACCUUCAACUUGGAUAGAAUAUUUGAUUAAGUUAUUAAUAUUUUGCUUCAAUCUGCUUUAGCAAAUUGGAAAUGGAUUGAUACAACUUACUGUAUGUUUAUGCAUUUUUGAAUUUUCAUGUUUACUAUAUGCUUUAACAAACUGGAAAUGGGUGUGCGUUUUUCAAACCUUUUUUGUAGAGUGGACGUUCUUACACUAUUUGAAUGAAACAAAUAAAAAAUUCAUUGUUUUGGUGUAGGCAUUUUCUCAUUACUUGUAAGAACGCAAGAUGGAAUGAAGGUGCCUCUUCUAUGAGGCCUUCAAGUAAGUCUCUUUUUCGAUUUACUUUCUGCAUUUGCAUUUAAGUGUUUGUGUAAAUACCAUAGUGAAAUUAUAUGGUAGGAUCUGUGACUGAAGCUAUGUUCAGACAUAUAACUUUUCUUGCCUUUAUUAUUUCACGAUUUUAGUAAUAUUUUCUGAUUAUUUCCCGGGUUGCAUAGUAAAAUUGAAUUAUUUUAUCAAAAGAUGGAUUUUUAUCAUCUCUUAGCUUCUCUAUUUUUUAUUUUUUUUAAAUAUCUUUAUGGAAUUGUUGUAAUAGUAUUACCUCUUUAUGAUCAUUUGAUUGUUGGAAGAUCAUACAAGGAAUUUCGGGACAAAUGAUUUUUUGUGAAAAAAAAGUUUUGUCUGAGUAGGAAAAGUAUAUCCAUCCGUGUGCGUUUAGAUCUGUUAUUCAUAUUGAUAGAUUAUAUUCCAUAUGUGGAUGCACAUUGCAUAUAGAACAUAUACUCACCUUGGGUUGUUAGGUACCUGUUGUAGCUUUGCACAUCUGCUCUCCGUAAUGUUUAUUGUUGCAACGUUCAUAUGAUCAGAUGGUUAUUGAUGGUGUUAAAUGUUACUCUAAUUGAUUGCUGAAAUUGAUAGGGUUGGGAUGUGACACUGAAUUUCUCCAAGCUGCCGUAAGUUUUCCCUCACUAUUUAUUGGUUAAUUUUUCUUUCACUUUUUCCCCCCUCUUUUUCACAUUUUACUUGAUACUCUCGUUAUAUGUGAUUAAUUUUGCGUUGGUAAUAUUAGGCUUGCUGCGAGGAAGGCCAAGAAGGAAAAGAAAGUGAAAGAUCCAAACAAGCCAAAGAGGCCUCCAAGUGCUUUCUCUGGCCAAAGGUUAAUUAGACCAUUAAUCCAUUCAAUGCUAUUUCUGCUUUCAGGGAAGGGUUCAGGAAACAAUCCAAGAAAAAAAUAGCCGAAUCAAUUGUUGUUGUAAGUUCAUCAUUCUUUUUAAAUUUUCUUUGAAGCUUAAUAUUCAAGCCAGAUAUUUGCACUAGGAGCUUGCAUGAUAAUUUUCUUUAUGAUUUCUUGUUUUCCUUUUGGGAAUAAAUAAUAAUAUAGGUUGGAAAAGUUGGUGGAGCUAAGUGAAAGUCCAUGAGUGAUGAGGUAAAUAUAUGCAAUCUAAGUUAUUAUUUAUAUUUUAUUCCUCAUCUCAAGAAAGUUCCUAAUGUUAUGAAAAUAAGGAAAGCUCCCUCGGUGCAAAAAGACAGAGAAACUAAAGGAGGAAUAUGAGCACAAAUGGCAUACAAUUACAAGAAUUUGACAAUCCAUCUAUGAGAAGCAUAGCCUUAUACAUUGUUUAGUUUAGACUACGAUAUGGAAAUGACUUAUAUCGAACUAUUUUUAUAGGUUGGAGUUGCUAAUGAUGAGUCCAGCAAGUCAAAGUCCAAGGUUAAUGAUGAUGAGGACAAUAAGAGCAAUGGAGAUUUUAGUUGAGAUUAAGCUAUACAACCUUUUUUACUUGAAAUUUGGUGACUGUGUUGACUUAUUAUUUUGUUUUAAUUAAUGUAGGAGGAAGACGAUGUGUAAGGACCAUCACAGAAAAUUGGAUUCUGGAUUCAAGGUGAUAACUAACAAACAAACAAUUUUCCUUCAUUAAUUUGCGUUCUGGCUUCAAAUUUUGUAAAAUGUUUGAAUUCAAAUCGGGUUAAUCGGAUUGGUGAAAUUAGGAUUUCAUGAAGAAUUGUCCUGUAGAAAUUGGGCUUCAUGUUAAUUCUAUUGAAAUCAAUUGAAAUUAAUUAUUGAUAAUAAGACUUUUCUCCUCUUUUUUUGGUUGUGAGUGUUGCUAAGGUGUUUUUUUUUUCUUCUUUAUAGUGAGGGAACAAGCAUCUCUUCCCUUCCAUUAACUCUAGCAAGAAAAAGAGAGGAAACGUAUCUCUUGAUUUUCCUUUUCUGUAUGCAAUUAUUUAGAGGGAAUCGGUGGAGGAAGAGGAGGUCGAGUGUUUGUAGACCCAUGAGCAACAAAGGCAGACUACAAUAAGAAUUUGGUAAGUCCAUCAAUGAAAUACUCUAUUACAAUACACCACGUGCGUUACACGCCAGGAAUUAGUUUGAUAAAUAUUUAAUGUUUUACAGCUAGUAGCUCAUAUAUUGUUAAAUCAUUAAAUCACAUUCCUUUUGUGAAAUCAUUGAAGUUAAAAAAUGGUAGAGAGAAAAAUAUUAAUUUAUUCGUAUCUUAAAUACAUCUUUUGGGGUGCAGGUAAAUUUAAUUUUUCUAUAGACAUGACAUGUAUAAUUUUGAUGGGAUGACGUUAUUAUUAUGCAGAUUUCCAUCUGGUUGACCAUUUCCAAUACAAGUUUGGGGCUCCAAGUUUAGAUACUCAUAGCUCAGUCAUUUACUGGAUCAAGAAAAUUGUUAAUUAUGUCAGUUGCUAUGAGCUUGUGGGUGGACCACCUACAUGGCAGGCUUUGUAUAUAUUUUGUUACAAGCUCCGGUUCACAACUGUUGAUGAUGUGUUGUUUAAAUUAGAUAUGACUUGUACAUGGUUUUUGUUGUUAAGGAGUUGCUGGAAGAGGCCAAACCAACCAUUAUUUAAGAGCAAUCCAAGAAACUACAUUUGUUAAGUGAAGCCAACGCUCUGCUAAAGAAAACAAAAAGAUUAUGAAGAUUGAGGAUGAUCGAGUUCACGUUUCACUUUUUAUCCUUCCAUCCCCAUCUCCUUGAGUAAAGAUCAUUUGUUGUAUUACAUGGCUACCAAAUAUUUCAAACACUCCUGGGAACAUUUUAGACGUAAAAUUCUACAUUAUAUGAGGAAUUUCCUUUUUUCCGAAUGGAGAAUCAUGUAGGCUAUCUUGCCAUUUCCAAGAGUAAUGUGUGGUUGUGUGUAAUACUUAAAAAAGAGAUGUUAUUUCUAAGCACUGCUUACCUAUCAGAGUCAAUGUAGAAGUAAGGUAAUUGCCACAUUUUCCAAAUCCAUGUAGAAGCAAGGAAACUGCUACAUUUUCCUAUUAAAUUGAUUAAUGAUAUUUGUAAGCACGCAAUCUAUGCUUUAACUA
rnacentral:lncRNA from 1 species